rnacentral:rRNA from 1 species
AUACGGAGGAUCCGAGCGUUAUCCGGAUUUAUUGGGUUUAAAGGGUGCGCAGGCGGCCAUUUAAGUCAGCGGUUAAAUCGUGGGGCUCAACCCCAUUCUGCCGUUGAUACUGGGUGGCUUGAUUGCGGUCGAGGUUGGCGGAAUUCGUGGUGUAGCGGUGAAAUGCUUAGAUAUCACGAAGAACUCCGAUUGCGAAGGCAGCCUGCUGGACUGUAACUGACGCUGAUGCUCGAAAGUGUGGGUAUCAAACAGGAUUAGAUACCCUGGUAGUCCACACAGUAAACGAUGAAUACUCGCUGUUUGCGAUAUACAGUAAGCGGCCAAGCGAAAGCGUUAAGUAUUCCACCUGGGGAGUACGCCGGCAACGGUGAAACUUAAAGGAAUUGACGGGG